rnacentral:rRNA from 1 species
GACGAACGCUGGCGGCGUGCUUAACACAUGCAAGUCGAACGGAAAGGCCCUGCUUUUGUGCGGUGCUCGAGUGGCGAACGGGUGAGUAACACGUGAGUAACCUGCCCUUGACUUUGGGAUAACUUCAGGAAACUGGGGCUAAUACCGGAUAGGAGCUCCUGCUGCAUGGUGGGGGUUGGAAAGUUUCGGCGGUUGGGGAUGGACUCGCGGCUUAUCAGCUUGUUGGUGGGGUAGUGGCUUACCAAGGCUUUGACGGGUAGCCGGCCUGGGAGGGUGACCGGCCACAUGGGGACUGAGAUACGGCCCAGACUCGUACGGGAGGCAACAGUGGGGAAGAUUGCACAAUGGGCGGGAGCCUGAUGCAGCAACGCCGCGUGCGGGAAGACGGCCUGCGGGUUGUGAACCACUGUCGCCUGUGACGAGGCGUGAGUGACGGUAAUGGGUAAAGAAGCACCGGCUAACUACGUG